GCAUAUCAAUAAGCGGAGGAAAAGAAACUAACAAGGAUUCCCCUAGUAACGGCGAGUGAAGAGGGAAAAGCCCAAGUUUGAAAGCUGGCACCUUCGGUGUCCGCAUUGUAAACUCGAGAAGCGUUAUCCGCGCCGGACCAGAUUUUUUUAAGUCCAUUGGAAUAUGGUACCAUAGAGGGUGAUAGUCCCUUUCAUGGUCUGGAACCCCCGGAGCUUUGUGAUGCGCUCUCCAAGAGUCGAGUUGUUUGGGAAUGCAGCUCAAAAUGGGUGGUAAAUGCCAUCUAAGGCUAAAUAUAGAGGAGAGACCGAUAGCGAACAAGUACCGUGAGGGAAAGAUGAAAAGAACUUUGGAAAGAGAGUUAAACAGUACGUGAAAUUGCCGGAAGGGAAGGACAGGGAGUCAGUUAAUGGACCUUGCGGGAUUCAGCUUGACCUUUCGAGGUUGGGUCUAUGUCUGCUUGGACCAGGCCAGCAUCGAUUUUGGCUGCCAGAUAUUAGUAGGGGGAACGUAGCAUUUUCUUCGGAACAAUGUGUUUAUAGACCUUUGCUUGGUAUGGCGGCUGGGAUCGAGGAACGCAGUGCACCCUUCGGGGCGGGCCUUCGGGCACCUUUGCACAUAGGAUGUUGGCUUAAUGGCUCUCUAUCACCCGUCUUGAAACACGGA
rnacentral:rRNA from 1 species